rnacentral:rRNA from 1 species
CCUACGGGAGGCAGCAGUGGGGAAUAUUGGGCAAUGGGCGCAAGCCUGACCCAGCAACGCCGCGUGAAGGAAGAAGGAAUUCGUUCUGUAAACUUCUGUUAUAAAGGAAGAAAGACGGAUGGAGGAAAUGACAUCCGAGUUACGGUACUAUAUGAGAAAGCCACGGCUAACUACGUGCCGGCAGCCGCGGUAAUCCGUAGGUGGCAAGCGUUAUCCGGAAUUAUUGGGCGAAAAGAGGGAGCAGGCGGCAGCAAAGGUCUGUGGUGAAAGACUGAAGCUUAACUUCAGUAAGCCAUAGAAACCGGGCAGCUAGAGUGCAGGUGAGGAUGGUGGAAUGCCAUGUGUAGCGGUGAAAUGCGUAGAUAUAUGGAGGAACACCAGUGGCGAAGGCGACGAACUGGCCUGCAACUGACGCUCAGUCCCGAAAGCGUGGGGAGCAAAUAGGAUUAGAUACCCGUGUAGUC